CCUACGGGCGGCUGUAGUGGGGAAUAUUGCACAAUGGGCGGAAGCCUGAUGCAGCAACGCCGCGUGCGGGAUGACGGCCUUCGGGUUGUAAACCGCUUUCAGUAGGGACGAAGCGCAAGUGACGGUACCUACAGAAGAAGCACCGGCUAACUACGUGCCAGCAGCCGCGGUGAUACGUAGGGUGCGAGCGUUGUCCGGAAUUCUUGGGCGGAAAGAGCUUGUAGGCGGUUGGGUGCGUCGCAAGUGAAAACUCAGGGCGUAACCCUGGGCUUGCGUGCGAUACGGGCUGACGUGAGGAAGGUAGGGGAGAAUGGAAUUCCCGGUGGAGCGGUGGAAUGCGCAGAUAUCGGGAGGAACACCAGUGGCGAAGGCGGUUCUCUGGACCUUUCCUGACGCUGAGAAGCGAAAGCGUGGGGAGCAAACA
rnacentral:rRNA from 1 species